CGGGCGCACGGUGGAUGCCUUGGCACUAGGAGCCGAUGAAGGACGGGACGAACACCGAUAUGCUUCGGGGAGCUGUAAGCAAGCUUUGAUCCGGAGAUUUCCGAAUGGGGAAACCCACCACUCGUAAUGGAGUGGUAUCCAUAUCUGAAUUCAUAGGAUAUGAGAAGGCAGACCCGGGGAACUGAAACAUCUAAGUACCCGGAGGAAGAGAAAGCAAAUGCGAUUCCCUGAGUAGCGGCGAGCGAAACGGGAUCAGCCCAAACCAAGAGGCUUGCCUCUUGGGGUUGUAGGACACUCUGUACGGAGUUACAAA
rnacentral:rRNA from 1 species